rnacentral:misc_RNA from 1 species
CACGCACCGACACGCGCUCGCGAGUUGUCGGGGCAACGGAGGACACUCGCCGAGCCGGUGGACAGGAAAUGAGCAGAGCGUGCGCACCUCAUUAUCAUCAUCACCGUGAUGAUGCGUUUGUCGGCACUCUCUCGUGUGGCUUGGAAGCUCACCGGUCUCCAGCUUGCGGCCGCUGUCGGGCGUAAGUCAUCCAUCGCUAAGGCAAUGAAAAAGACGAAGGGGGCAGAGAAGAGGUCUGCGUCCCGUCGCGUCACCUCUCGCCGUCGCGGAGCGAGCCCAGCAAGUAGCAGGGAGUCCAUGAUGGGGGCUGCCGGACCGCACCUGGCGGUUGUGCCACCGGGAGUCUCCACCAAGGGCGUGGCCCGUGCAGGCAUACACGUGGCAGAUCUGCACAAGCUGGGCGACAUAACGGAGCUCGUCUCCUCAGCAGUGUGCCUCACAGGCGGUGGGCGCGAGACACGCGCCAGCGCGUCAUCUCUUCCGCUUUCGAUGCUUCCUGCAUCUGCACUGCCCUCGUCCUCGCCGCCACCGCCGCCGCCUCCUGUGCCAAACGUGAAGGGCUGCAGCGUCUCCGUGACAAGGUUGCAGCGCCGCAUCCGCUCUCUUCUCGCGCAACUGGUGCUGCUCUCCCCGGAGCCGCUGCAGCCGAGUGCCCUCUUUGCCCGCUACCGCAGCGCGGUCGACGAGGAGACGGCGAGCAUGUGUGCGUGGGCCGCCCAUGCUGUGUACGAGUACGACCAUGGAUUGCUGCGCUGCGGCGGCAGAGUGGCAAGUCAUGCGGCGCGCAGGGAGGCGUUGAGCGAGGGAGAGGCAGAAGCAUACGAUGCCGAGCAGCGCACGGCGGGCCCGACGGAGAGCAAUGCCGACAGUGAAGGUAGCAGCAGCGGCGGCGGUGCGGCGGCAGAGCAGCGUGUGCUGUGGAAGCGAGGGCAGCAGCUGUCCCAAGCCUUCCGUGCGAGUGUCGUACCACUGGUGGCGACCCUGUGCGGCGACGGUAGUUGUGGUGGGACCGAGGCUUCUGUGGCUCUUAGUCUGCCCGCCAGCCACGAAGUGGAACAGUGGAUGUUCCUCUCGAUAAUCUUCUCCGACUCCGAGUUCCGCGUCUCGCCGUACUCCGGCGCCGUCUCCUACCCGGCACUGCCGUCCAUGCUGCUGGCGACGGUCGACCCCGUGCGUGAUCGUGCAGUUGCGAAGCUCUGCUACGCCCUGCAGUGGGGAGUGCAGGCGAAGACUGCCGCCUACGCCGCGUUCCGUGAGACCAACGGCAACGGUGGCGCGAAGUACUUGAGCGGCACCACGAGCCGCAAGCAUGAGCAACAGCCAUCUGUGCCACCAGCCACCGCUCGUGAAGAGGCAGUCACCAACACUUGCGAGUUUGUGUGGCUGAAUGGGGCGGCGGGGUCGCCGACGUGGACCACCGCCCAUGCACAGUACCUCCUCCAUAGCGCCUUGACGAGUGCACGCAAGCCACUCGACGAGUCGCUCGCCAGGUCCGCCGCGUCCACGACGGAGUUCUCAGCAGACCAGCAGCUGCGCAAGACCAUCUCGGCAGCAGCAGCGCUGCAACACACAUCCGGCCACCCACUCGUGGAUGUGAUGCUGCAGGCUUCAUCUGUGGUCAGCGUUGCGACGCGCAGCGGCAGCUCCCCAACGGGCGAAGCGGAUCUACCCGUGAGUGGUGAUAGUGGUGGUGGUGCGAAGGUGAAGACGACGCGAGGCGCGGCGGCGGCAGCCGCACAUCCCCCAGCCCUCGGAUGGAAUGAAGGAAAAAAGGGCACGGAUGUCGCCAAAUCCUUCGCGAUGGACGCCAGCGAAGAUGGGCUGUUCGCCACGUUGAUGGGCGAUCUGCCAACUCGCAGCCUGUCCGCUGGCGCCAUGUACGAAAUAAACCGCCGUCUUAUCGGGCAUCUCUUCCGCCGGCUGGCGGCCAUCCCCAUCUCCGUUGCCCGCCUGUCCACGGUGGUGCGGUGGAACUUGUCCGUCACGCACGCCGCGUAUUACCGCUCCUUCUUUCGCUUCUUGCUGCUCACGGCGGCGAACCCAAUGGUGCGCCGCAUGGCCGAUGGUCGGCGACAGCGCCGUCAUGCCAACGCCGUGUGCGCCGAUGUCUGGGGUGGAAAAGAGGACGACAGUGUUGAGGUGCGAGGCGGCGUCGAAGACGAGGUGCGCAACGCACUCGCCCAGUACGACCCACAUACCUUCAAAGGUCUCCUAAACAGCAGCAGCGCCGAGGGGAGUGCCGUGGCAGCGCUUCGUCGGGCACUUGUCGCCGACGCCGAUGUCACCAAGAAGUGUGAUCACAUAGCAAAUACCGUGAUGGAGGUGAUGUGCGUGCGUGUGCUUCCGCACGCGCGACCAGGACGGGGGUCCGCCACUACCGCGGCACCUCGCGGCCCGGCCACUGGCGCAGCUGCUGCACCAGUAAUGGGCACAACCUUCUGCGGCUACCCGCUGCGCUAUGUCGAGGUGCUGCCAACGUGGCGCCAGACACCCGAGGAAGUACUCCAGUACCUGUGGCGUCAGCAAGACGAGGCGCCGCCUUGCGGCAAGGACACGAACUGGCUGGAGUGCAACGAGGAACCGUACAUCCUCGUCUUCUCGCUGGAUCGCGGGGUGCUUCACACGCGACUGCGCCUCGUCGUCGACAGGUAUUUGGAGCUCACAAAUGGUGCUGCAGCCUCCGCCGUGCCGCCCCAUAACGCCGCUGCGGCACAGGUGACUCUGCAUGAGCUUGGACUGAUGACGCUGUGGGCCCACGAGUACGGCGCGGAGAUGGCGGCAGAGCUCCUGUUUGUGCACCUGCUGCCUCGCCAUGAGGAGGUGCGGCUGCACCCUCCGAGGGUAAGCGGACCCGCGCUUCGGCAUGAAGAAGCCCACAAGCAGACGGCCAUGGCCAGUGGUGACGGCACCGGCAGCAGUGGUGCCGUCGGCUAUGGCGCAUGGACAGUCGAGUUUGUACCCGCACUGAGCCCAGAUCCUCGGCGCGGGGCACUUACGGGGUGACGGCAAGAGGAGCAAGUAAAGAGGAGGGGAGGGGCAUGCCGGGGGCAGGCCAUCUCCUGUACGGCCCGCACACAACUGUGCGAACCACACGCACGCACACAUGCCAGCAGCAUCUUUGCUCUGUUUCGUGUGUGUGUGUGUGUGUUCCUCCGUCCCCGCCGUUCUGCGCGUGUGCGCGCACGACCAUCCCGGCAUCGGCGGGCGCUGUUUCAUGGAGGGGAGGACCUGCACCCGUGCACGUCCACGCACAUUUUAUGUGUGGCUUCUUCGUUCUUGUCGCCCCCACCCCCACCCCACGCAUACGUGCUCUCGUCGCUCAUCAAUGGCUAUCUCUCGUCUCCCCUCCGAC